GACCUCAAAUCAGGUAGGAUUACCCGCUGAACUUAAGCAUAUCAAUAAGCGGAGGAAAAGAAACUAACAAGGAUUCCCCUAGUAACUGCGAGUGAAGCGGGAAAAGCUCAAAUUUAAAAUCUGGUAGUCUUUGGCUGCCCGAGUUGUAAUCUAGAGAAGUGUUAUCCGCGCUGGACCGUGUACAAGUCUCCUGGAAUGGAGCGUCAUAGAGGGUGAGAAUCCCGUCUUUGACACGGACUACCAGGGCUUUGUGAUGCGCUCUCGAAGAGUCGAGUUGUUUGGGAAUGCAGCUCUAAAUGGGUGGUAAAUUCCAUCUAAAGCUAAAUAUUGGCGAGAGACCGAUAGCGAACAAGUACCGUGAGGGAAAGAUGAAAAGAACUUUGGAAAGAGAGUUAAACAGUACGUGAAAUUGUUGAAAGGGAAACGCUUGAAGUCAG
rnacentral:rRNA from 1 species